rnacentral:lncRNA from 1 species
UCCUGUUCUCUGCUGAUCCCAGAGCAGCAGUAUACUGUAUAGAAUAUUUGUGUCCCUGUGACUGAAUUCCUGUCCCUGAAAUAUUCCUCAGGCAGCUCUGGUGCAGCUCCGCCCGUGACCCACCACUGCUGCCCAGAGUGUCUUGUUUCCCUGCAGUGUCUCAAACCGGCGCUGACUGGGCCCUGAGCUACAGUUUUCAUACAAGACGGUGCGAGUCCUGUCCCCCUGACCCGCCCGGCGCCACGGCCCAGCUCCAUGGGCUCGGGCCUUGCUGCCGGUGUCUCUGUGAGCUCGUCUCCGGGCGGGCAGCCGUGAGCGGGGCUGCUGCAGGGGCGGAACCGGAGCCGAGUCCUGGACCAGCGCCAGCUCUCCUGAGCGCGCUUGGCCGGCACGCGGGUCCCUGUGCGUCUGCUCCAUCCGGGAUGUUCCAUCCCAGAAACCUCGGAGUUUCCUCGGCGGGCGAGUGGGCUGCGUGGGUCUGUGGUCUGGUCUCGUCGCGGAGCAGAGCCCUGCGGCCGGCACGGGGGGGCCAGUGUCGACUCGCCUGUACUUCCACCCUGUGCGUCGCGGACGGUGUCGCUGUUGCUCCUGUUGCCCGCAGGGGGCGCUGGCGGGAUGGACAGGCUGCAGGCUGGGGAGGAGCCGGGGCCCCUGUCUGACCCAGAGGACGAGGGGUAAGGGAGCCCCUUUCCUAAACCUGAUCAAGCCCUUUCUAGACC